rnacentral:lncRNA from 1 species
AAAUUGGAGUUUUAAAAAUAUUGAAGAGGUUGAAGGAGAGUCAAUCACACUUUGGUGAUCUCUUUGCUGGUAAUUACCUGUUCAUGCAAGUUAAUCCUUCUUCUCUUAACACUAAGUAUGUCUUCGACCGAUCUUUUCAAGUUCAAAAUGGUAACUUACCUCCCUCUAAAGUAUCUCUUCCUAGAGUUCUUAUGUAAAGAAGACGUAUGAAAGAAAAAGAUCGGUCAAUCACACUUUGGUGAUCUCUUUGCUGGUAAUUACCUUUUCAUGCAAGUUAAUCCUUCUGCUCUUAACAUUAAGUAUGUCUUCGACCGAUCUUUUCAAGUUCAAAAUGGUAACUUACCUCCCUCUAAAGUAUCUCUUCCUAGAGUUCUUAUGUAAAGAACACGUAUGAAAGAAAAAAAACAUCAAUUAUAUAUCCAUUUCGAGAUAAGAG